GUGGGGAAUUUUGGACAAUGGGCGAAAGCCUGAUCCAGCCAUGCCGCGUGCAGGAUGAAGGCCUUCGGGUUGUAAACUGCUUUUGUACGGAACGAAAAGACUCCUUCUAAUAAAGGGGGUCCAUGACGGUACCGUAAGAAUAAGCACCGGCUAACUACGUGCCAGCAGCCGCGGUAAUACGUAGGGUGCAAGCGUUAAUCGGAAUUACUGGGCGUAAAGCGUGCGCAGGCGGUUAUAUAAGACAGAUGUGAAAUCCCUGGGCUCAACCUGGGAACUGCAUUUGUGACUGUAUAGCUAGAGUACGGUAGAGGGGGAUGGAAUUCCGCGUGUAGCAGUGAAAUGCGUAGAUAUGCGGAGGAACACCGAUGGCGAAGGCAAUCCCCUGGGCCUGCACUGACGCUCAUGCACGAAAGCGUGGGGAGCAAACAGGAUUAGAAACCCGUGUAGUCC
rnacentral:rRNA from 1 species